rnacentral:rRNA from 1 species
UACGUAGGCAGCGAGCGUUGUUCGGAGUUACUGGGCGUAAAGAGUGCGUAGGCGGUUUUCUAAGUUUGGUGUGAAAUCCCUCAGCUUAACUGGGGAACUGCGUCUGAUACUGGAUGGCUCGAGUGUGGGAGAGGAAUGCGGAAUUCCAGGUGUAGCGGUGAAAUGCGUAGAUAUCUGGAGGAACACCGGUGGCGAAGGCGGCAUUCUGGACCAUAACUGACACUGAGAGACGAAAGCCAGGGGAGCAAACGGG